UUAAAAAUAAGCUAAAUAAAGCUUUUGGGCUCAUACCUCAAAUAUAAAGAAUAACUUUUUUUUAAA
rnacentral:tRNA from 1 species